AUUGAACGCUGGCGGCAUGCCUUACACAUGCAAGUCGAACGGCAGCACGGGAGCAAUCCUGGUGGCGAGUGGCGAACGGGUGAGUAAUAUAUCGGAACGUGCCCAGUCGUGGGGAUAACGUAGCGAAAGCUACGCUAAUACCGCAUACUAUCUAUGGAUGAAAGCGGGGGAUCGCAAGACCUCGCGCGAUUGGAGCGGCCGAUAUCAGAUUAGGUAGUUGGUGAGGUAAAGGCUCACCAAGCCGACGAUCUGUAGCUGGUCUGAGAGGACGACCAGCCACACUGGGACUGAGACACGGCCCAGACUCCUACGGGAGGCAGCAGUGGGGAAUUUUGGACAAUGGGCGCAAGCCUGAUCCAGCAAUGCCGCGUGCAGGAUGAAGGCCUUCGGUGUAAC
rnacentral:rRNA from 1 species